rnacentral:rRNA from 1 species
GAUGAACGCUGGCGGCAGGCUUAACACAUGCAAGUCGAGCGGGGUGAUGGUGCUUGCACUAUCACUUAGCGGCGGACGGGUGAGUAAUGCUUAGGAAUCUGCCUAUUAGUGGGGGACAACAUCUCGAAAGGGAUGCUAAUACCGCAUACGUCCUACGGGAGAAAGCAGGGGAUCACUUGUGACCUUGCGCUAAUAGAUGAGCCUAAGUCGGAUUAGCUAGUUGGUGGGGUAAAGGCCUACCAAGGCGACGAUCUGUAGCGGGUCUGAGAGGAUGAUCCGCCACACUGGGACUGAGACACGGCCCAGACUCCUACGGGAGGCAGCAGUGGGGAAUAUUGGACAAUGGGGGGAACCCUGACCCAGCCAUGCCGCGUGUGUGAAGAAGGCCUUAUGGUUGUAAAGCACUUUAAGCGAGGAGGAGGCUCUUUUGGUUAAUACCCAAGAUGAGUGGACGUUACUCGCAGAAUAAGCACCGGCUAACUCUGCGCCAGCCGCCGCCGUAA